rnacentral:ncRNA from 2 species
ACGCCGGGCCGUGACUGGCGCGCUGGGAUGGGAUCGACCAUCGGGGAGCGGCCCGACCACGAGUGCCGUGCGCCUGGGCCGUCCAC